GAUGAACGCUGGCGGCGUGCCUAACACAUGCAAGUCGAACGGAAGGACCCUAAGUUUGUGGGGUGCCGGUUUGCGGAAGGCGGGUGUGUAACGUGUGUAUCCCGCACUUGUCUUUGGGGUAACAUCAGGAAACUGGGGAUACGAUAGGAUAGGAUAUCUUGCAGCGUGGUGAGCGGUGGAAAGUUUCGGCUGUUGGGGAUGGACUAGCGGCUUAUUAGCUAGUUGGUGGGGUAGGUGACUACCAAGCCUAUGAAGGGUAGACGGCGUGAGAGGGUGAUCGGCCACAUUGGAACUGAGACACGGUCAAGACUCCUAAGGGAGGCAGCAGUGGGGAAUGUUAGGCAAUGGUCGGAAGUAUGACGCAGCGAUCCCGCGUGUGUUAUGAAGGCCUUCGGGUCGUAAAGACCUCUUUCUGGGGAAGAACAGCUGUCGCCUUAAACGUAGCGGUAGUGACGGUAACGAAUAAAAAAGCACCGGCUAACUACGUG
rnacentral:rRNA from 1 species